CGGGUGAGUAACGCGUGAGGAACCUGCCUCAAAGAGGGGGACAACAGUUGGAAGCGACUGCUAAUACCGCAUAAGCCCACGGCUCGGCAUCGAGCAGAGGGAAAAGGAGCAAUCCGCUUUGAGAUGGCCUCGCGUCCGAUUAGCUAGUUGGUGAGGUAACGGCCCACCAAGGCGACGAUCGGUAGCCGGACUGGGAGGUUGAACGGCCACAUUGGGACUGAGACACGGCCCAG
rnacentral:rRNA from 1 species